GCACUUAGGAGCAAGGGCAGCAGGAAAAGGAGGAGGAGAACCGGGCAGACCUGGGGGAUGCCGAGGCUGUAGCGAUCUCUGCUUAAUGUGUGUACGUCGGUUGCUGCUACCGCACAAUGAAAGGGGAGCUGAUAGGACUGCCGAGGGCCCCGUCCCUUCACCAAUGAGCUCCGCUCACACUGAGCGGGUGGCAGGGCUUGUCUGCGAAGCAUUGUGGGAAUUGGAGUCCAGCCCGAAGCCUAUGCCUUCCCCCCCGCCCCCCCUCCCUCUUUUCUGCUUUCCGGACUCCUUCCCUCACCCCACACGAUCCCGCUGUCAAGUGGCGCGCGCGCCGUUCCCUGACGGAUGAGCGGGAAGGGGAAUGGAGAAAGCCAAGAGAGCCGUUAGAGACUCGUCUCGAGAUGUGGCUGAACGUUCCUUUCAUGGCGGGCUCGGGCAGGGGUCGUUUCUGUAUAUGAGCAAUUCAUGCCUUAUCCAAGAGUGUUAAUUUGACCGUUGUCUCUCAAGGAUGAUGUCACCGUCUUAUUGAGCCGUUUGGGUAGGCAAGCUAACAAUCUAAACAAGUGACACCUCUGCUGGUUAUUUAUAGGCAAAGUUUUGGAAAGACUUCGUUGCCUAUGGCUGAAAAUUCACAAAAUGCAGAAGGAAGCCCAGCCUAACAAUGAUAUGAUAUUUAAUGCCAUGGUUGUCUUAUGCCAAAGAAGUGGUAAACCGCGUGGAAUUGUUUGAUAAAGUAUCAUUUAAAUGAGUAAAACCACUACUUCUUAGGCAGCACCAAGAAGUUCCACGGAUCAUUGCACCGAAUUUAGCACUGAGCAACUUUGUAAAAUAUCCUUAGAAAAACAAAAUUAAGCGGGGAGUGGCAUCAGAUGGAUGGCUAAGGCCCAAGUUCUCUCAGGUCAGUGAAGUGGCCAAAAUACUAAUAUUUCAGCAUAUUUCAAGAAAUGUAAAUAGGCAAAUCAAACAAGGACAGGCUUAAGAAGAGGAAAGUCUUGGGAGAAGAUCUGAAACCUUCCUGUUCCAGUCCAUUCUGAGAGAUCUGGGUUCCUCCCAGAUUUAUUGUCCUGGGCAGACAAGAUGGCUGGAAGGGUGAACCUGAGCCAGAGCAGCAACUUCAUAAGCAUAUAGAAAACAUACAGAAGAAAGAAAUGUGUAUGUGUCACAACACAAUUGUGGAUAGAAUCCAGUCUUUGCUUAGCCCCCUUAGUGAGCAGUUCACAGAAGUACCGCCCCAUAUACAAAUCUCUGGGCAGUUGGCAGUCUAUUGAUGACAUCCAAAGCUACUUCUCCAUGUCAACCUCAUCAGAAGAAGGCAUAACUUCCCUAAAUGCUUGCCUGGAGGCAGUAAUGGGCUGGAUGAGGGAUAACAAACUGAGGCUGAAUCCAGAUAAGACGUAGUUACUUAUUGUGCGGGGUUGAAACUCGGGAGACGGUUUUGAUCUGCUGGUUCUGGAUGAGGACACACUCCCGCAGAAGGAACAGGCACGCAGUCUGGGGGUGCUUCUGGAUCUGAACCUCUCCCCACGUCCCAGGUUGAGGCGGUGGCCAGAGGUGCUUUUUAUCAGCUUUGGCUGAUAUGCUAGCUGUGUCCUUUUUCUGAGAUGAACGUCAUCAAAACGAUCCUGAAAGAAGUCCUCUUAUGGAAUUUGUAUGCCUUCUGGAAGAAUGCUCUGAAGCCUUUGCCAACCAUAGCAACUGAAAAUAUAGGGUUAAAUAUCCCACUGAAGUGUGAUUAAUUUCUUAUUGAGUAGUACCUCACAUUAGAAUAAAAAUGUAUGGAAGUGCAAGAACAAUCAGUAACUUGGACGGCAGUCCUGCCAGAUCUCCUCGCUUGCCAAGAUCUCCUCGCCUGGGCCACAGGCGAACAAGUAGUGGAGGAGGUGGAGGGACGGGUAAGACGUUAUCGAUGGAGAAUAUCCAGUCACUUAAUGCCGCCUAUGCAACAUCUGGACCAAUGUAUCUGAGUGAUCAUGAAGGUGUGGCAUCCACUACUUUCCCAAAGGGCACAAUGACUCUUGGAAGGGCUACAAAUCGAGCUGUGUAUGGUGGUCGAGUUACAGCUAUGGGAAGCAGUCCUAAUAUAGCUUCCGCUGGCCUUUCCCACUCAGAUCUCCUUUCCUAUACCGAUCAGCAUGGGGGGCUGACAACUUCUGCACAUCAUCACCACCAUCAGCUCCCUUCUAUGCUGAGACAGGUAAGGGACAGCACCAUGCUAGAUCUCCAGGCUCAACUUAAGGAGUUACAGAGAGAGAAUGAACUUCUAAGGAAAGAACUAGACAUCAAGGACAGCAAGCUUGGCUCUUCUAUGAACAGCAUCAAAACCUUCUGGAGUCCUGAGCUCAAAAAGGAAAGGGUCUUGCGGAAAGAAGAAGCUGCUAGAAUGUCAGUUCUGAAAGAGCAGAUGAGGGUUUCUCAUGAGGAGAAUCAGUUUUUGGAUGCCAGGAGAACAAAGCAUCUUCAGCUAACUAUUCAGGCACUCCAAGAUGAGCUUCGAACCCAGAGAGACCUUAAUCAUCUCCUUCAACAAGAAAGUGGGAACCGAGGUGCUGAGCAUUUUACCAUUGAGCUCACAGAGGAGAAUUUUCGAAGGCUUCAAGCUGAACAUGAUAGACAGGCAAAAGAGCUAUUUCUCUUGAGAAAAACUCUGGAAGAAAUGGAGCUGAGAAUUGAAACACAGAAACAGACAUUGAAUGCCAGAGAUGAAUCCAUCAAAAAGCUUCUAGAAAUGUUGCAGAGCAAAGGUUUGCCUUCCAAAGGAAUGGACGAUGACAAUGAAAGAACUCGAAGGAUGGCAGAGGCUGAAUCUCAGGUUAAUCACUUAGAAGUGAUUCUAGACCAGAAAGAGAAAGAGAACAUACAUCUUCGAGAGGAACUGCACAGAAGAACCCAACUUCAGCCUGAACCAGCUAAGACGAAAGCUCUCCAGACUGUCAUAGAGAUGAAGAAAGAACCAUCUUUAUGUAUUGAUCCUGCUGUGAUAUUUCAGGACACAAAAAUAGCUUCACUGGAACGUAAUUUAAGAGACCUUGAAGAUGAAAUACAGAUGCUGAAGACAAACGGAGUUCUGAACACAGAAGAUCGAGAGGAAGAAAUCAAACAAAUCGAAGUUUACAAGAGUCACUCAAAGUUCAUGAAAAACAAGAUUGACCAGCUGAAGCAGGAGCUUUCAAAGAAAGAAUCAGAACUUCUUGCCUUACAAACUAAGCUUGAAACCCUUAGCAAUCAGAAUUCCGAUUGCAAGCAACACAUUGAAGUGCUUAAAGAGUCGCUUACUGCCAAAGAACAGAGAGCUGCCAUACUUCAGACAGAGGUUGAUGCCUUGAGAUUACGUUUAGAAGAAAAAGAAAGUUUUCUUAAUAAAAAAACCAAACAACUGCAAGACCUCACAGAAGAAAAGGGAACUCUGGCUGGAGAAAUUAGAGAUAUGAAAGAUAUGUUAGAAGUCAAAGAAAGAAAAAUUAAUGUUCUUCAAAAAAAGAUUGAAAAUCUUCAAGAACAACUUAGGGAUAAAGACAAGCAGCUUACCAAUCUGAAAGACCGAGUUAAAUCUUUGCAGACUGAUUCCAGUAAUACUGACACUGCUCUAGCAACUUUGGAAGAAGCUCUGUCAGAGAAGGAGAGAAUUAUAGAGCGACUAAAGGAGCAGAGGGAAAGAGAUGAUCGUGAAAGGAUUGAAGAAAUUGAAUCCUUUAAAAAAGAAAACAAAGACCUGAAGGAAAAAGUUAAUGCUUUACAAGCAGAGCUAACAGAAAAAGAGUCUAGUUUAAUUGACCUCAAAGAACAUGCAUCAUCACUGGCUUCAGCAGGGCUGAAAAGAGACUCCAAAUUAAAGUCUUUAGAAAUAGCCAUAGAGCAAAAGAAGGAGGAGUGUAGUAAGCUAGAAGCACAACUGAAAAAGCAAGCUGAACAGUUGUUCAAUCAGAUGUACAAUCCAAUGCCAAUUAGGAAUAAUGGGAAACAAGGGGCUCAUGAAGCUGAGGAGGAAGCCCGGAUGAAUCCUGAAUUUGCAGAUAGGAUGAAGCAGCUUGACAAAGAGGCAGCCUACUACAGAGACGAAUGUGGCAAAGCUCAAGCUGAAGUUGACAGACUUUUAGAAAUCCUCAAGGAAGUAGAGAAUGAAAAAAAUGACAAAGAUAAGAAAAUUGCAGAACUAGAAAGACAUAUGAAGGAUCAAAACAAGAAGGUGGCCAACCUGAAGCACAAUCAACAAAUGGAAAAGAAGAAGAAUGCCCAGUUGCUAGAAGAAGUUCGUAGGCGUGAAGACAAUAUGACAGACAAUGCUCAGCAUUUGCAGCUAGAAGAACUAAGGAAUGCACUGGAUAAGACCAGACAAGAACUGGAUUCCACUAAAGCAAGACUUGCCUCAACUCAGCAGUCUCUGGGUGAGAAAGAAGCACAUCUGGCUAAUUUAAGGAUAGAACGGAGAAAACAACUAGAGGAAAUACUGGAAAUGAAACAGGAAGCACUACUUGCUGCCAUCAGUGAAAAAGAUGCAAAUAUUGCCUUGCUUGAACUAUCCGCUUCAAAGAAAAAGAAAACUCAAGAAGAAGUGAUGGCUUUGAAAAGGGAGAAAGACAGAUUAGUCCAUCAAUUAAAACAACAGGUCUAUAGAAAUAGGAAACAGCCCCAGAGCAUGAACAUAUCAUCCAUUUGUGAUGCUGACUUCAUCACAGACAUUGGUGCCAAGUACCUGGGUUCCAGACAUGAUGCACAUAUGCCUCAGACACAGAACAGGAUGAAACUGAUGGCAGACAACUAUGAUGAUGACCAUCACCACUACCAUCACCACCACCAUCACCAUCACCACAGAUCUCCUGGGAGGACACAACACGCCAAUCACAGGCCCUCUCCAGAACAGAUGAUCCAGUCACUGUUGGAGGCACAUUGCCACGGCAAAAUCUCAUGCUGUACAUUGAUCACCUGUCCAACCUUUGCCUAGAGUGUGAUCCCCAGUUCCUUCAAGAGAUCCAACUUUACCUGUCUAUAAAGAAGAGGAGGAGGGAGACAUCUGGAAUAACCAGGCAUCAGAGCAUUAACACCAGAGCAGUUAUCGGAGGAGCUGGAGAAAGAAGCAGAAAAAAAUGCAGCACUGCAGGAUGAUGAGAGAAAGAAGAAGAGGAUGGUUUACUGCAGUGGAAAUCUGAAUGCAAUCACCACACUUGGAACACAGUCCCAGAAAGAUCACAUAAGUGAGUGGGGCAUACAAGGUUGCCAUCAAACAAUAUGCUGAAUAAAUGGGUGUCUUCUCCAUUAUUUCCAGUAAUCUAUUACAAAGUCAGAUACUUUGGAAAAUAAUGAAGGGGACUCAAUAGGAAAUUACAGAGAACUUCAUUUCCUUUAAUGGGGUCAUAUGAAUUAUUCCAUUUUUUAACCAAGUGGCCAUCUGUUCUGAACAUUACUAACUGAAGUUCACUGAAACACGAUCCUUAAUUUGACAGAUCUGUAUUAAUUUUAAUAUGUAAUUCAGGUUCCAUUAGCUGCAGUAUCAUCAUCUGAUGAUUCUGGCUAGUUUCUUCUAAAGUAUCACUUCUAAAGCACUAGAUUAUUAUAGAUACUAGCAAGCUGUUACAUAAUGGUGUUAGCAUUAAUUGUACUCCAAACGAUGUGGGCUUUUCAGGGUAAUAAAAACAAAGCCUUUACCCUCCUCUGUUUCUUAUCUUUAUUGUUAUUCAAACCAUGUUGAUAGUGUAAUCAGUAUUAAGCUCUGGGCCAGGUUGGAAAUGAAAUCAAUUUUUGGUACUAAUAUUUGUUGGCAUAUGAAAAUAUGGUGUGUGUCUCUGACAAUGCAUGGGGCAUCUAAAUUGAAAUUAUUUAUAUACAAUGGUUGAUGUAUGUCUGGAUGAUAAAAGCUUGAGGCAAGCAUGUGUACACCUAUAUGUAUACAAGCAUCUGUAAGGCUAUAUCAAACUUGUAUCAUCCAAAUGCACACCAGUAUUUAAUAUAAAGCUGGGACUCUUCGUUUAAAAAAAAUUAAAAUAAGAAUGUCGUGAUUAUUCGAUAUAUGCAUUAGGUCACCUUCAAGGGAAGGGACCGCUCAUUAUAGUUUUCUGAACAGGGAAACAAUACCUACCGUGGUUUAUAAUGUAUUUUAGAUAAUAAACAAAAAAAAUGUUAAUGAAUGAGGGGAUUACAAAAAAAAAAAUCUCUAUCAUCAAAAACAUUCUAGUAAAUGCAAACAUGUUAAAGCACAUGCUGCGGGGGAAAGCCAGGAAAAUAACUGAAGCUAUUAUAUGUAGUGACCAAAUAUUAUUGAUAAUAAAAUUUCUACUACUUCCCCAAAGUAAGGGUCUUUAUACACUUUAACAAGUUAUUUAACUCAAUCUGGCACACAUGAGCAUACAAAGGUUCAGUUUUUUUACUGGCACAUUUCUUUGUCAGUGGGAGGAGUACUCCCAGGCUUAUAUAAGUGGAUACUUACUAUCUGUAAUUCUAAAAACAAAUAAUAUGUGCAACCCAUCAAGUACUGUUGUGAAACUUCCAUUUAUUUUAAUGAGAUGUGUACAGGGCUUUACUAAAAGAAUGGAGGUCAUGCUACAGUAGUGGUUGAUGGACUGCCUCCCCAUGAAAUCAAACAUGUGUGGCCUUAAUUCUUAGUAUUUUAUUUUAUUUUAUUUUAUUUAUUUUGCUGCUGUGAACAAAAAGAUUCUAAACAGGAUAUUCCUAAAAUCUUGCACUGAAUUUAGAAAAAUGUCAUUAUUUUUUGGAUGGUUGAUCAUCCUGUAUGAGCCAUGCAUACUAAGUUCCCUGGAAAUUAUUAUUUGUCUAGAAAACAGUGAUUUAGUUAGUUGUACCAUCAUUCUUGAUGAAAUGAAAUAGCCACUUAAAUGCAAGCAGAAUUUCUGCUUGAUGUUAAUUAGAUUCAGUGAAUAGAAUAAUAAAUCUGUAUAAAAUAUGUAUAGUAUAGAAGAUAAUCCAUAUUGAUUUAUGUUAUAAAAGUUUGUCCUUUAUCUGUCAAUGGAGUUUUAAACCUUUGGGGUUUGUUUGUUUGUUUGUUUGUUUGUUUGUUUGUUUUUAAAAAAGCAAAGUUCCUGAAAGUUUCUUUAGCACAUAUGACAAAUGUUGCACUUGUGAACCUGGACAAUAAAAUGUGUUUCUUUUCACAAAUUUACUGUCCUAGUAAGAGACAACUGGCUGAGUACAACCCUCUGGAAGGUUCUCCUGAAUCAUUCAUCCAUUGGAAUGAAUGGCAGCUGCACAGUAAUGCAAGAGCUCUCAUUCAUUUCAGUGGAGUUUGUACAGGAGAGCUACCUGCAGAUUAUGCCCUCUGUGUCUCUUACAGUCAGGUCUUUACCUUAAUUCUGCAACUGAAUACUUGAAGUAGGAAAUAAACUAGGAAAAACAUAGGGUCCUUAAAAAAAAAACCUGUAUAGCUAGAUAUUUAUAUGUAUGUGCCAAUUUUGUCACAGAUAUUAUUUGGGGGCAUUUAUUUAUUUAUUUAUUGCUCUACUUAUGUUGGUAAGAGUAUUGCUCGUAUCUUUUAUCAAGGCCUAAGACUCAGCCUCUACAAAAGAAAAAUUUGUCUGACAUUGCUUUUUUAUUGUUUCAUUUCACAAGGCAUUCUAUGAUAUUUGGGGGGGGGGAAUCUUUUCAUACACUACAAUAGAAUCUCUGGGUUUACAAUAAACACUGUGAUGUUGGGCAAACAUUUUAUUCGAGCAAUGUUUAGUAGUUUUCUUUCCCCUCAAAAUGUAAAAAGUCAAACAAAUCUUUUGGUUAGCAUUUAAGAUGAGUAUUAUUUUACUGUGGGAUCAAGCCUGUACUGCACAUUCUUUCAUUUAAAUGUACAGAAUGAAUUUUGUAUUUAAAUGAAUUUUGUGUAUCCAGUAUGCACGUAAAUGCACAUUGACUUUCAUUUGAAAGUGAGUUUUGAUUUCCUUUUUAAACAGUGUUUAUGAAAAGACUUCAGAUGUGUCACAAAACCUAUACCUGCAUUUUCCUUUGGUGUAGAGUGAUUGUUUGAAUGUGAUGUUCUGCAACAAUGGGUCAGUAUUCCCUAUUUACCUUUGACCCUCCUUUGAUAGUGCUUCUUGUAAUAAUUUUCUUCAAGUGAGUGGCAUGUUCCGGAUUGUGAUCUUGACAUGUGGUUAAGGACAUUGAUAUGAAACUAAGGAAUCCUUAGAAAUUACCAGUGGGCAUGUUUUAGAACAGUCAUUGUAAAAUUAAUGUCUUGUAGAAGUGUAAAGUACCAAAGUAUUUAGAGUUCAUAACAUUGUUAUCAUGUGUAUGAGAAGUGCUUGGUGUUGAUCAGCUUGUUUAUAUUCAUCAAAUAAAUCUGGUUUCUUUCUGA